AGAAUUCAGAAGCAUGGUUUCAGAAUGUUGCAGUAAUAGGGUCAAAAGCUAAAACCAAGUCAGGCAAACAGAAGCUUCUGAUAAACCUUUAGCCUGAAGGUCCGAAGUAGAGUUAAAAACAACACUAGCCAGCAAAGAAAGAGAACAUUCAGUCAGACUGAAAGACGACAAUGGCAGCAAUGAAACCUGGACAGGAUAGUGGGAAUUUAUCUGUCGUGGUCCAUGGAAUCGGAGAUCUGCGUCUGGAAAAUCGUCCAGUACCCAUACCAGGUCCAAAUGAGGUCUUGCUGAAGAUGCAUUCUGUCGGAAUAUGUGGUUCAGAUGUCCAUUACUGGCAACAUGGUCGCAUUGGAGAUUUUAUUGUAAAAAACCCAAUGGUUUUAGGACACGAAGCUUCUGGAAGAGUGGUCAAAGUCGGUUCCUCAGUUACUCACUUGAAACCUGGUGACAGAGUGGCUAUAGAGCCCGGGGUUCCACGUGAGACAGAUGAAUUCUGCAAGACAGGCCGCUACAAUUUGUCUCCCACCAUUUUUUUCUGUGCAACACCUCCCGAUGAUGGCAACCUAUGUAGAUAUUACACGCACCAUGCAAACUUCUGCUACAAGCUUCCAGAUAAUGUAACAUUCGAAGAGGGUGCGCUCAUUGAACCUCUUUCCGUGGGAAUCCAUGCCUGUAGGAGAGCUGGAGUGACUCUUGGUAGCAAAGUCUUCAUCUGUGGUGCAGGGCCCAUCGGACUGGUUUCUCUUCUGGUAGCAAAAAUGAUGGGUGCUUCACAAGUAGUGAUAAGUGAUUUAUCUUCCACUCGACUGGAGAAGGCUAGAGAAGUUGGGGCAGAUUUUGCUCUACAUGUCACCAAUGAGACACCACAAGAGAUAGCACAGAAGGUGGAAACCUUGCUAGGUUGCAUGCCAGAGAUUACAAUUGAGUGCACAGGAGCAGAAACAUGUAUUCAAACUGGAAUUUAUGCGACACGCUCUGGCGGUACUUUAAUCCUCGUUGGCCUCGGUCCUGCAAUGGUAAAUGUGCCUAUAGUAAAUGCAGCUGUGCGAGAAGUAGAUAUCAGAGGCAUUUUCAGAUACUGUAAUACGUGGCCAAUGGCUAUUUCCAUGCUGUCAUCCAAGAGAGUGAAUGUCGCUCCAUUGGUUACUCACCGUUUUCCUUUGGAGAAAGCUCUUGAGGCCUUUGAAACAACAAAGCAAGGCCUGGGAGUGAAAGUGAUGCUAAAGUGUGAUGAGAAUGAUCAAAAUCCUUGAAUACUGAAGUUAAUUCUUAAGUUAAUGUUUAAUGUUUUCAUUCCUUGUUCUUGUUGAUUAGAAUUUAAAAGCAAAUAUAUAUAGCUUAUCUUUUAAAGCAUAUAUCGAUCAGACCUUUACCGUUUAAAUACGCAACCAUCAAUGACAUGAGAUUAUACAUUAUGAGGCAUCUUCCCCUCCCAAAUUAAAUUAACAGAACUAAUUUAAUCUUUCAGAACUAAAUCUAGAGAACUCUGUAUAAAUGAAAACGUCAUCCUCUUGGGAAAUGUUUUCUCAACCUAGUUAACACCUUGAUCUUGAGUUAAAGUGGCUCAUUCACCUUCUGAAGUGACAGCCAGAGACAGUUUUCAGCUCCUUUUUGGUGGUGACAGAGCCACUUUAAAGUGUUCCACUUGAGAAAGUGGUUUAAGAUGUCUUUUACAAAAACUCUCUUCAUCUAUAAAAUUGCUCCCCUGGAUCAUUGACUUCCACUCAAGAAUUUUACUUGCCCCUUUACAAUUCAAUAUUUGCCCCACUGGUAUGUUGAGCAUUAAGAAUCCAAUCUACAAUUAUGGUUAUUUAGUGGUUGGCUAUAUCUUUGUUGGCAGCAGUCCACUGAGCAAGUCCAUUGAACAGAUACAUCCCAUAAACUGCUGCUGGUCCAAGACUUAUGAGAUAGGAAAAAAAAAAACCUCAUAGACCAGAUUUGGAGACAUUUAAUUGGUUCAUUCCUGGUUGUGGAUGUCAUUGCAGGGAAGUGCUGCUGUUCAUCAAAAAUGUAGGUCAGUCCUUGCAUAUUAUCUCCUUAUAAUUGAAACCUGGAUGGAACCAAUUAUGUAACAUGGAUUAACAGCGUUGGGAAAAGUUCAAGUCAAGAUGAAAUGUGUCCCCUGCCACCUACCUUAUCCACUUCUGGUCUUCAUUUAGCAGGCUGGAUCUAAUGUUUUUAAAAUGUUGUUGUAUGCAGUAGUCUGAUGAUUUAUAUGGUUCACGGUAAUGAUCUACUGGUUACAUAUUAAAAAAGGUUUGCUGCUACUUCCUCCAUAAUGGUUAUCACUGUGGUUUGAGACUUUCAUCUGCGAUUGCUAAUAAUGGCAUCCCUCAGUGCAUAGUGUUUAAGCACAUUCUAGGUCAGGGGUGCCCAAAAGAUAGAUCACCAGAUGUUUUAAAACUACAGCUUUCAUGAUGAUUUGCCAUUCUGAAGGCAUUUCAAAUGCAUGCAAAGCAUAAUGGGAAUUGUAGUUCUGCAACAUCUGGGGGUCUACCUUUUGGGCACCCCUAUUCUAGGUGUUGUAGGAUGCCAGUGUUAACAUUUGUAGUUCAUACCUCAAUUCUGGUGGCAUACAGGUACAAUUGUUCGCUUUUUAUUUACCCAAUUAGGGUUUACCUGUAUGUUUACUAGUAAUAAUUUAUCACGGUCUAUACAUAAAAUGACUAUAUCUAUGGAGAAUUAUUGCUUUACUGGUACAGUUUAAUGCCACUUGAAUGGAUCCUUAAUAAAUGUGUCUGUUAUUAUUCAAAUAUUAACUAUAAAUAAUGUAAUUAAAAAAUGUAAAUCCCAA